GAUGUGAAAAAACAUCGAUGCAUCGACAAUCGAUGUUUUUUUUGGCGAUGUUUUCCGAUGUUUUCCGAUGUUUUUAUUGAUACCGAUGUUAAGCGAUGCAUCGAUGUUUGACAGAACAUCGGGCGUUAAAUUUCACAACAUUGCAGAACAUAUGGAUACACUGCCACAUAGAAAAAUUCGCGAAUUUGUUUUAUUUUUUACCCUGUGUUUGCAAUGCCAAAAAUAACAACAAAGACAAGCUUUUGCUGGAGGCACUUUACAAAAAUUGAUGGAAAUAGCGCAAAAUGCAACAUUUGCAACAAAGUUUUGAAGACUGCGGGUAACACGACCAACAUGAAGGACCACCUGCAGUCCAUUCAUAAAAUAGAACAAAAUGUUGAAGAAAUGUUGUUUAAGAAUUGAAUUAACGAAAAAUAACGGAAUUAGUAGAAAACAUCGAUACAUCGAUGUUUAUAGCCGAUGUUUUACACAACAUCGAUUUAUCAUUUUGCAAACAUCGAUGAACAUCGACAUCGAAUUUUCGACCCAAAUUUACAUCACUAGUUUUUAUAAUGAAAGCGGAGGGCUGCCAGACCCCAACAGAAAAAAAUAAACAUAUAAAAGAGCAGCCAGUGCUGCCAGUAGCAGUAAAAAUUUGCUUAUGCAUGGUAACUCAGCAGAGAAGGUCACUUCAACUUUUGAACCCUUUUACACACACUAGCAAACACACACACACGCUCUCGCAGUCACAUAUGCUAGCCUGUUGCUGCCUUGUGAUUCACAGUUGUUGUUGUUGCUGGUCAUUUACGCCCAUUUAGCCACAUUUAACAAAGUCAACAAUAAAGUCAAAAAGUUUUGUUGAAGUUGUUGUUGCUGCUGCUAAAGUUCAGUCGAAACGAUAAUUGCCAAAAGUUUUGGCCAGAAGCCUACCCACUCUGGGCCCGGUCAACAGUUAUCAGUUUAUCGAGCUGCUUUUCCGUUCGGCUCAAAUUGAAUAAACAUCUAAUUUCUAUGCUUGGCUCUGCCCGGAGACACUUCUCCAUAGACCAUUAAAUCAUCAUCAUUCGCAUUUCGGAUUACGGAGUAAUCGUAUUUAGGUUUCAGGCCUCAUUAGCGACGACAGCAGCAGAAGCUGCAACAGGAGCAGCAACAGCAACAGCAGGUGUCAAUAUUAAUUUACUACCUGCUCAAGGAUAUUCUGCUGCUGGCUGGAAUUUAGCUUUUCAAGCUUGGCAACCAGAUACAUCUGAGUGGGCCGUAGGCGUGCGGAAGAGCUGCUUCAUAUUUUAUGGAAUUUGCGGUCUCUGCGGUAAUUACGGUAAAGCUAGCUGAGAAAAUGUAUACAGAGAAUAUGGAAAGAGUAUAUAUGUAUGUAUAUGUAUAUAAUUAUGUAUAUAUAAAGUAGAUAAGAGGAAAAGAAAAUGUAUAAAGAGAAGAGAAGCUACAGAAGUUGACUUGGAAAUAAAGACAAGAGAUAGACAAAAAUAAUAAUUCAGUUUAAUUAAUAUCUUAUUUAUGUAGUCAAUUAUGAAGCACACAUAGUAAAUAUAUCGAUCAGAAAUCUUUCCCAUAAUAUAUGUGAUUUACUUCUACUGUCCAGUUCCAUGUAGACAGUUGCAUUAAUCUAGACAAGAAGACGGAUGUAUGACAAGAAGCGAACAGAGCUAGACUUGAUAAGAUAUUUAGAUGGAUCCACUUGGCAACCGAAUGGUAGCACUCGCCAUUAAUAUGCAGAGCAGCUUCGCUCGGCUACGUCUUGAAGGCUGCCUAGUGGAUCGGCCCAUUAAAGUGGCUAAUGGAGCGGCUGAAUUAUUCGGGCAGGCGAACGUUGCGCAUUUUUAAGCAAGGCCACAACAAAUGGAAGCGAAAGAAUAAAUAAACAGGCACAAAUAUUUCAAUGAAA